AGGUUGAAGCUAGUUUUGUUGCAGAAUGGCAAAUGUUUGGUACUAGUUGAAACUAUGAAAGUGAUACAGGUCCCAUGGUAAUCAUUUAACAGCAGGGUUUUAACAGCAGUUAUGCAGAAAAAUGAAGGAUGGCUGUCAAUGGUAAAUGCAGCAUCAGAAUAUUCCCCAGGAAAGUUUACCCAGAGAGUUUGGGAAAGUAUGAAUAAGAAAUGAGAGAGGGAAACAGAUAACCAGAAAACAAAGAUUUUAAAAGAAAAGAAUUGCAACUAAUAGUAAUAUGAUAUAUCUGACUGGGAGCAACAUGUACUAUUCAAUAUAGAAGGAUUGACAAUUUUGACUGAGAACAAAGUGAACUUUGAUAAUGCUAUGACUAUCAAUCAAUACUUGACUGAAUCAGAGGAGUAAACUAUUUACAUAUUUGUAAAUAUAACAAUUAUAUGUUUGCUUGAUUAUUGAGGCAUUCAAAAUAAAGAAAGUUGAAAAACCUUUGAAAAAGUUAUAAUUUCAUAAUUUUUUGGUUAUGUUAC